rnacentral:misc_RNA from 1 species
GUUUGAAGUGAAAAAGCUUGUGAAUUUUCUCAAGCAGGCCUCAGAAGAUGCUAAAAGAUUGGUCAACCAGGAAAGGUCUUUUGCUUGUGCUGAAAUUGAGAGUGCCAGAUCAGUCGUGCAAAGAAUUGGGGAGGCUCUUGACGAAGAAGAAAGGAAUUCCCCUACCUCUGCAAAACAGGAAGUGGAGGGACUGCUGGAAGAGGUACAAGAAGCUAGAAGAAUAAAACUUUUGCAUCAGCCUAGUAAGGUGAUGGACAUGGAAC